UGGGUAGGCCAGACGAUCGUGCUUCGAGUAAUCGAGGUGAGGAAAGUCCGGACUCCGCAGAGCAGCGUGGUUGCUAACGGCAACUGAGGGAAACCUUAAGGAAAGUGGCACAGAAAUUAUACGGCCGAACUCGAGCCUAAAGCUUGGGUGGCAAAGGUGAAACUGGGAGGUAAGAGCUCCCACACGACAGCUAGGAGACUAGCGGUGCGCCAAACCCCACGCGGAGCAAGACCAAAUAGGGAGAUGGGUUGCUCGCCCGUUUGGAUCCCGAGUAGGUCGCAUUGAGGUAGAUAGCAAUAUCUAUCCCAGAUAGAUGGUCGUUUUAUACAGAAUCCGGCUUAUCGGCCUGCCCUUUUU
rnacentral:RNase_P_RNA from 1 species